rnacentral:misc_RNA from 1 species
CAACCCUCAAGCUCUGCUUGGUAUUGGGUGCCGCCCCCCACGGGGCGCGCCUUAAAGACAGUGGCGGUGCCGUCCGGCUCCAAGCGUAGUAAUUCUUCUCGCUCUGGAGGACCGGUCGUGUGCUUGCCAGCAACCCCCAAUUUUUUCA